rnacentral:rRNA from 1 species
UGGGGAAUCUUGGACAAUGGGCGCAAGCCUGAUCCAGCCAUGCCGCGUGAGUGAUGAAGGCCUUAGGGUUGUAAAGCUCUUUUGCCGGGGACGAUAAUGACGGUACCCGGAGAAUAAGUCCCGGCUAACUUCGUGCCAGCAGCCGCGGUAAUACGAAGGGGACUAGCGUUGUUCGGAAUCACUGGGCGUAAAGCGCACGUAGGCGGAUUUGUAAGUCAGGGGUGAAAUCCCGGGGCUCAACCUCGGAACUGCCUUUGAUACUGCGGAUCUCGAGUCCGAUAGAGGUGAGUGGAAUUCCUAGUGUAGAGGUGAAAUUCGUAGAUAUUAGGAAGAACACCGGUGGCGAAGGCGACUCACUGGAUCGGUACUGACGCUGAGGUGCGAAAGCGUGGGGAGCAAACAGGAUUAGAUACCCCCGUAGUCCCUGAGCGGGCUGGCAAGGCGCAU